rnacentral:rRNA from 1 species
AUUGAACGCUGGCGGCAGGCCUAACACAUGCAAGUCGGGCGGGCGGCGGACGGGUGAGUAAUGUAUGGGGAACUGCCUGCUGGAGGGGGAUAACGACUGGAAACGGUAGCUAAUACCGCAUAACCACAGAUGAACCCAUAUGGGAUUAGCUGGUAGGUGAGGUAACGGCUCACCUAGGCGACGAUCCCUAGCUGGUCUGAGAGGAUGAUCAGCCACACUGGGGCUGAGACACGGCCCAGACUCCUACGGGAGGACGCAGUGGGGAAUAUUGCACAAUGGGCGAAAGACUGAUGCAGCCAUGACGCGUGUAUGAAGAAGGCCUUCGGGUUGUAAAGCACUUUCAGUCGGGAGGCGUUACCGACAGAAGAAGCGCCGGCUAACUCCGUGCCAGCAGCCGCGGUAAUUC